rnacentral:rRNA from 1 species
AUGGCGGGCGCAAGGAACAACGAGCUGCGCAUGACCCUGCUCGGCCUGGCCCUGCUGGGGCUCCUGCUGGUGAGCCACACCGCGGCUCCGGUGGAUGCUGCCGCGGGCGUGCAGGAGAACAGCUUCUCCAUGAACGGCGCCGGCGGCCGCAGUCUCAACAGCUUCAGCAUGAACACCGCCGAGGGCGAGGGCGCCAAGGGGGGGAAAGCCAAACCCGCCGCCGGCGACUUCUGA